rnacentral:sRNA from 1 species
AAAGACAAAAAAAACUUUGUACAUUAUAACACUAAGAGCAACAAAAUUCCAUAUAACUACAUAAGAAGAUUAAAUUUCGACACAAAAAGUUAAAACAGCUAGCAUACGAAUGAUGCUACGUUUCUCCAGCUCUGAAUAAUAACAAGAGUAACUAAUAAUAAUAGCAAAAGGAAAUUAAACCCUGGUUGAUGGGAUCAAAGUUAAACAUCAAAGCAAAGAUAAACUAUCAACCGAUUGAUCAAUUGGAAGUCAUUUGAGUCUGACGGAUCUGCCACAUGUUCUUGACAAAGAGAGGCAAAAGAUGUGCGAUCAAAACCGCAGGGAAAUCUGUUGGUGAUCAACUUUGCCACAUGUCUCUUUCUCAGUAGAGAGAGACAUUGAUUCCUUGCGAGAAACAAAGAAAGAGUGAGAAGAGAUUUAGAUGAUUUAACUAGAUACGAGGAGAGAUAUACAUUGGGUAUAAAUGUUUUUAUUACAUGUUCGAGCUGUCUAGCGAUUUCGUCCAUUCUUGGUUCAAGCAUCUAAGCCUUGACAUUGGUCAAGGUAUCGAGUAGACGACCUUCGAACAACAUCAGCUCGAAGAGCGUCAUGCCAUGUAGAUCUCUGCCAUACAUUCUCUUGAGAGAAAGAAUAAAAAGGGUCAUGUUUCGUCAAAAGUGAAGAAACAAUAAGGGUCAAUGAAAAAAAUGGUAAAGACAAAAUGUGCAAAAACUUAAGAAAUAUUUGCGAUCCAGCCGCAUGAAAAUAUGGCGAUCAUCCUCAAACAUUAAAAAAAGAUUAAGAUAAUUUAAGAACAGAUAUACAUUGGAUAUGUGUGCUUAGCACUAGUUUGACCAGAUUAGGAUUUUGAAAUCCAAAUGGUGAUUUGAUGUCA